rnacentral:tRNA from 1 species
CCCUAAGUACCUUAGUUGGUAAAGAAUCUGCCUGCAAUGCAGGAGGCCCUGGUUUCAUUCCUGGGUCAGGAA